rnacentral:piRNA from 1 species
UAGGAAGAUUCUAUGGGGCUCUCGGC